UGGGUUUAGUAUCAAAGAAGUGGGUGCUAUCGGCAGAAGAAAUAUCUAACCCGGUGAGCAUAGCCACAUUGGCAAGAGUGGGGGAAACAGGGCCAUGGCCAAAGACAAAGGCAUUGAGCGUGUCUGACCAGAAGUAUGAUGCAGCUAUCAGCAGUGACUCGUUCCUAUGCAUAUCGGCAAUAGACAACCUAAUGCAUUGGGCUAGAUUUCUUUCACCCCAUUGGACUUCAUUUGAGUUGCUGACUCUCAGAAACCAAUCUGUCCACCCCACGGUAGGGCUGGGCCAGGAACGAAAAGUGUCCUUCCACAGAUCCAAGGAAAAGUUCUCUGCUCUGAAAGGGAUCCUGUUGGUUUCUGCGUUUAUGAGAUCGGUUGGAUCUGGAUCCCCUAAUGGGCCAAGGCAUUGGAGAUGUGGUCGAUCAGUGGGGAUGACAAUUUUGUUAGCCGAUUCCUAAUGGUUAUGGAGGUAUAAAAAAAACAAAAAAAAGGGGAGAAGGGAAAAAUAUUCAGUACGGAGGAUUGCAGUUGAACGAGGGUGCGAGAAAAGUACAAAAGAUAGUGCGAAGAACUGACCUCGGGGAUGAUGAAGUUGACGGCCAUUUUGCCACAGAGGAGAAGAUUGAGAGUUUUGGAGUUGGUGAGGAAGGAGCCUCGUCGGAGAUCUUGGAGCCUUUGGAACAGCGCCGCCGCCGGAAAGGUGAGUUUGGAGUUGUAGAAUGAUGUGAUGGAGAAGGAGUACCCGAGAAGGAACUACUUAUUAGACAAAACGGGCAGGGGGUAAAUCUGACUUAUCUCUUUGCCGUAUCCGAGAAAUCCGAGGGUACUCAGGUAGAUAUGGUAACUGUUCGCACGGUAAUCAAGGGAUUGUGCAGGUGAUUUGACGGGAAGCGGUCAUUAUCCGGAGAUAUUUUACUGUGCGGGAUCUCCUGGUCGGUCCAUCGGCAGCGUCCUGUAACGGUCAUAUUGCCGAUGGGCGAAUAAAGUGGAGAUAGCCGUUUGUACGAACAUCCUGAUCAGUCCAUCGGUAGAUCUUUGUAACGGUAAUGUUGCCGAUGUGCGGUUAAGAAGGAAAUGCCCGUUUAGGAAAUGGAAGAUUUCGAGGGAUCUGCAAAAGAAUAGGAUCAGAGUUGUUCAGAUUGAGGUUGUUGGUUACCAGAUUAGGAGCAUUAAUUGCGGGAAAAGGCAUCAUUACUGCAGAGAAUUUCGGAGCAUUAAUGAUUUCAUACUCUGAAAUUGGGGGGCAUGUGUUGACACCGUUUUUGGGCACGUGUCUAGGCC
rnacentral:lncRNA from 1 species